rnacentral:rRNA from 1 species
GCGUCAGUAUAUUGUUAGUAAUCUGCCUUCGCAAUCGGUAUUCUGUGUGAUCUUUAUGCAUUUCACCGCUACACCACACAUUCUAACUACUUCACAAUAACUCAAGUCUUUCAGUAUCAAAGGCAAUUCUACAGUUGAGCUGUAGGAUUUCACCUCUGACUUAAAAGACCGCCUACGGACCCUUUAAACCCAAUGAUUCCGGAUAACGCUUGGAUCCUCCGUAUUACCGCGGCUGCUGGCACGGAGUUAGCCGAUCCUUAUUCGUACAGUACCGUCAAAUACCUACACGUAGGUAUAUUUCUUCCUGUAUAAAAGCAGUUUACAACCCAUAGGGCAGUCUUCCUGCACGCGGCAUGGCUGGAUCAGAGUUGCCUCCAUUGUCCAAUAUUCCUCACUGCUGCCUCCCGUAGGAGUCUGGUCCGUGUCUCAGUACCAGUGUGGGGGGUCUCCCUCUCAGGACCCCUACCUAUCGAAGUCUUGGUAAGCCGUUACCUUACCAACUAACUAAUAGGACGCAUGCCCAUCUUCUACCGCCGGAGCUUUCUUCUUUAAAUAAUGCUAUUCAAAGAUCGUAUGGGGUAUUAUUCAACAUUUCUAUUGACUAUCCCCCUGUAGAAGGUAGGUUGCAUACGCGUUACGCACCCGUGCGCCGGUCGUCAGCGGAUUGCAAGCAAUCCCUGUUACCCCUCGACUUGCAUGUGUUAAGCCUGCCGCUAGCGUUCAUCCUGAGCCAGGAUUCAAACUCU